rnacentral:misc_RNA from 1 species
GAAUGAAGACAACCACAUGUCUUAAUUUUUCACUGAAGGAUAAAGGUAUACAUUUUACCAUAUGGCCAACAUCAUAAAUCUUUAACAUCAGCAUCUACAGUAAGAUCCUGUCAGUUGGCUAUCUUUAAAGAACCAAAAUAAAUAAAUAAGAAUAACAUUCACCUUAAAUAGCUAUCUUCCAUGACCUAACUCACAAUUCAAAUGUGCAGCAAGCAAACAAACCAUGCUUAACGGUUAACACUUGAAUGAAACCCAAAAAAUGAAUAAAAACAAAUUCACAAACAUUUCUGAAAAAUGAAGUGCGGUUAAAAGCACAAAACAUUCUUUUUAGAAGGUCCCAUACUGCCUAGGCACAAAUGCAAGUGCAAAUAUGCACCAUGACAAACUAAAAUAUAUGUUCCCAAAUUGUUACACUAGUAAUAGCAAGGGAUAUUCAUAACAUACAUUAAAGACAAGUAUAAAAAAAUACAAACAAAACUAAGAAUAGUUAAUCUUUAACAUAAAA